GAUGAACGCUGGCGGCGUGCCUAAUACAUGCAAGUCGAGCGAACAGACGAGGAGCUUGCUCCUCUGACGUUAGCGGCGGACGGGUGAGUAGCACGUGGAUAACCUACCUAUAAGACUGGGAUAAAUUCGGGAAACCGGAGCUAAUACCGGAUAAUAUAUUGAACCGCAUGGGUCAAUAGUGAAAUACGGUUUUGCUGUCACUUAUAGCUGGAUCCGCGCCGCAUUAGCUAGUUGGUAAGGUAACGGCUUACCAAGGCAACGAUGCGUAGCCGACCUGAGAGGGUGAUCGGCCACACUGGAACUGAGACACGGUCCAGACUCCUACGGGAGGCAGCAGUAGGGAAUCUUCCGCAAUGGGCGAAAGCCUGACGGAGCAACGCCGCGUGAGUGAUGAAGGUCUUCGGAUCGUAAAACUCUGUUAUUAGGGAAGAACAAAUGUGUAAGUAACUAUGCACGUAUUGACGGUACCUAAUCAGAAAGCCACGGCUAACUACGUG
rnacentral:rRNA from 1 species